AUGGAUGAUGAUAUCACCACGCUCAUCGUCAAAAAUGGCUCUGGUACGUGCAAGGCCAGCGUGAUGGGCAACAAUGUGCUCCGAGCUGUCUUCCCCUCCAUCGUGGGAUGUCCAGGCACUAGCAUCAACAUCACCAACUGGGAGGACAUGGAGAAGAUCUGGCAUCGCACCUUCUACAAUGAGCUGCUUGUGGUUCCUGAGGAGCACCCUGUACUGAUGACUGAGGCCCCCCUGAACCCCAAAGCCAACCAUGAAAAGGUGGACCCUGUUUGAGACCUUCAACACCCCAGCCAUAUAUGUGGCCAUCCAGGCCAUGCUGUCCCUGUACGCCUCUGGCCGUGCCACUGGCAUUCUGAUGGAUUCCAGUGACAGGGUCACCCACACUGUGCCCAUCUAUGAGGGGUAUGACCUCCCCCAUGCCAACCUACAUUUGCACCUAGCUGGCUGGGACCUGACUGACUACCUCAUGAAUAUCCUCACUGAGCAUGGCUACAGCUUCACCAACAUGGCCAACUGGGAAAUGGUGUAUGACAUCAAGGAGAUGCUGUGCUAUGUCACUCUGGACAUUGAGCAGGAGAUGGCCAAGGCAGCCUCCAGCUCCUCCCUGGAGAAGAGCUAUGAGCUGCCCAGCAGCCAGGUCAUCACCAUCGGCAACGAGCGGUUCCACUGCCCCAAGGCACUCUUCCAGCCUUCCUUCCUGGGCAUGGAAUCCUGUGGCAUCCAUGAAACUACCUUCAACUCCAUCAGGAAGUGUGAUGUGGACAUCCGCAAAGACCUGUAUGCCAACACAGUGCUGUCUGGCGGUGGCACCACCUUGUACCCUGGCAUUGCCGACAGGAUGCAGAAGGAGAUCGCCCCUGCGCCCAGCAUGAUGAAGAAAUAAGAUCACUGCUCCUCCCAAGCACAAGUACUCCAUGUGGAUCGGUGGCUCCAUCCUGGCCUCGCUGUCCACCUUCCAGCAGAUGUGGAUCAGCAAGCCAGAGUAUGACAAGUCCAGCCCCUCCAGCAUCCACCACAAAUGCCUCUAG